UACGGGGGGGGCAAGCGUUGUUCGGAAUUACUGGGCGUAAAGGGCUCGUAGGCGGCCAACUAAGUCGGAUGUGAAAUCCCCAGGCUUAACCUGGGAACUGCAUCCGAUACUGGAUGGCUUGAAUCCGGGAGAGGGAUGCAGAAUUCCAGGUGUAGCAGUGAAAUGCGUAGAGAUCAUGAGGAAGACCAGUGGCGAAGGCGGGUCUCUGGACAGUUCCUGACACUGAGACACGAAGGCCAGGGGAGCAAACGGG
rnacentral:rRNA from 1 species